ACUGUACGAGUAAUCACCGGCUAACUCCGUGCCAGCAGCCGCGGUAAUACGGAGGAUGCAAGCGUUAUCCGGAAUCAUUGGGUUUAAAGGGUCCGUAGGCGGUCAUAUAAGUCAGAGGUGAAAUGCUGUGGCUCAACCGUAGCACUGCCUUUGAUACUGUAUGUCUUGAAUUAUUGUGAAGUGGUUAGAAUGUGUAGUGUAGCGGUGAAAUGCUUAGAUAUUACAUAGAAUACCGAUUGCGAAGGCAGAUUACUAACAAUAUAUUGACGCUGAUGGACGAAAGCGUGGGUAGCGAACGGGAUUAGAUACCCUGGUAGUCUACGCCGUAAACGAUGGAUACUAGUUGUUUGGUUUUCGGAGUGAGUGACUAAGCGAAAGUGAUAAUUAUCCCUCCUGGGGAGGACG
rnacentral:rRNA from 1 species